CUCGGAGUUUGAUCCUGGCUCAGGAUGAACGCUAGCGGCAGGCUUAACACACGCAAGUCGAGGGGUAGAAGCAGCUUGCUGCUUUGAGACCGGCGCACGGGUGCGUAACGCGUAUACAAUCUACCUUUUACAGAGGGAUAGCCCAGAGAAAUUUGGAUUAAUACCUCAUAGUAUUUUCGAAUGGCAUCAUUUGAUUAUUAAAGUUCCAACGGUAAAAGAUGAGUAUGCGUCCCAUUAGCUAGAUGGUAAGGUAACGGCUUACCAUGGCAACGGAUGGGUAGGGGUCCUGAGAGGGAGACUCCCCCGACACUGGUACUGAGACACGGACCA
rnacentral:rRNA from 1 species